UACGGAGGGUGCAAGCGUUGCGCGGAAUUAUUGGGCGUAAAGGGUAUGUAGGUGGUCUCAUUUGUCUGGGGUGAAAGCCUUGAGCUUAACUCCAGAACUGCCUUUGAUACUGAGGAUCUUGAGUCCGGGAGAGGUGAGUGGAACUGCGAGUGUAGAGGUGAAAUUCGUAGAUAUUCGCAAGAACACCAGUGGCGAAGGCGGCUCACUGGCCCGGUACUGACGCUGAGGCACGAAAGCGUGGGGAGCAAACAGG
rnacentral:rRNA from 1 species